AGUGAACGCUGGCGGUAGGCCUAACACAUGCAAGUCGAACGGCAGCACAGGAGAGCUUGCUCUCUGGGUGGCGAGUGGCGGACGGGUGGGGAAUACAUCGGAAUCUACUUUUUCGUGGGGGAUAACGUAGGGAAACUUACGCUAAUACCGCAUACGACCUACGGGUGAAAGCAGGGGACCUUCGGGCCUUGCGCGAUUGAAUGAGCCGAUGUCGGAUUAGCUAGUUGGCGGGGUAAAGGCCCACCAAGGCGACGAUCCGUAGCUGGUCUGAGAGGAGCAUCAGCCAAACUGAAACUGAAACACAGUCCAGACUCCUACGGGAGGCAGCAGUGGGGAAUAUUGGACAAUGGGCGCAAGCCUGAUUCAGCCAUACCGCGUGGGUGAAGAAGGCCUUCGGGUUGUAAAGCCCUUUUGUUGGGAAAGAAAUCCAGCUGGCUAAUACCCGGUUGGGAUGACGGUACCCAAAGAAUAAGCACCGGCUAACUUCGUGCCAGCAGCCGCCGUAA
rnacentral:rRNA from 1 species